rnacentral:rRNA from 1 species
UAAAAGUCGUAACAAGGUUUCCGUAGGUGAACCUGCGGAAGGAUCAUUAUUGAAUAAACUUGCAGGCUGUUUGCUGGUCUCUCCUCUUUGAGACAUGUGCACGCUUGUUAUCUUUAUUUCUCCAACUGUGCACACAUUGUAGACCUGGUAUUUUGGAUUGUUYGAGUAAAAUCGAAUAGAUUGAGGAUUGCUGAGCUUUCUCAAAGACAGCUUUGCCUUGCAUUUCCAGGUCUAUGUUAUUUCAUAAACCUUUGAAUAUGUUACAGAAUGUUGAAUUGGGUCUUUGCACCUAUAAAGUUAAAUAUACAACUUUCAGCAACGGAUCUCUUGGCUCUCGCAUCGAUGAAGAACGCAGCGAARUGCGAUAAGUAAUGUGAAUUGCAGAAUUCAGUGAAUCAUCGAAUCUUUGAACGCAUCUUGCGCUCCUUGGUAUUCCGAGGAGCAUGCCUGUUUGAGUGUCAUUAAGUUCUCAACUGCACUAGUUCUUUCUGGUGCAGCUUGGAUGUGGGGGUGUUUUUUUGCAGGCUUUUCAAAGUCGGCUCCCCUGAAAUGCAUUAGUGGUCUCCUAGCAGAGAAACUGCUACAGGUGUGAUAAUUAUCUAUGCCUUUAGNUACUCUGCAAGAAUGGAUUGCACUGCUUCUUAACAAGUGAAUCCCUGUUAUGGGGAGUGCACAUUUGACAAAUUUGACCUCAAAUCAGGUAGGACUACCCGCUGAACUUAAGCAUAUCAAUAAGCGGAGGAAAAGAAACUAACAAGGAUUCCCCUAGUAACUGCGAGUGAAGCGGGAAAAGCUCAAAUUUGAAAUCUGGCAGUUUUUGACUGUCCGAGUUGUAAUCUAGAGAAGUGUUACCUGUGCU